UACGUAGGGUGCGAGCGUUGUCCGGAAUUAUUGGGCGUAAAGAGCUCGUAGGCGGUGUGUCACGUCGGCCGUGAAAACCUGCAGCUUAACUGUGGGCGUGCGGUCGAUACGGGCAUCACUGGAGUUCGGCAGGGGAGACUGGAAUUCCUGGUGUAGCGGUGAAAUGCGUAGAUAUCAGGAGGAACACCUGUGGCGAAAGCGGCUCACUGGACCAUAACUGACGCUGAUGCACGAAAGCUAGGGGGAGCAAACAGG
rnacentral:rRNA from 1 species